rnacentral:lncRNA from 1 species
ACUGACUGACUGACUGACUGACUGACUGACUCAGAUGCUUCGCUAUGACCGAAUCUCUGCCUCUGUGCACGGAGAGAUUCACCGGAGCCUCCCGCACACUGCAGCCGAGCUCCGCGCACCUCAGUCCGGCUGAGCAGCGGCCAGCAGGGCCGGGGGCGGAGAGCCUGGGGGUCGCAGCAGAGGCUGGAGAAGCAGGAGAAGAAUCAUCAGACAGUGACGGAGAACAAGAAGAGACGUCGCACAAGCUGAUACGGAAGGUGUCAACCUCCGGACAGAUCAGGGCAAAGACGAACAAAUUCCCUGUGAUCCGUUAAAGAGGAGAAACGUGUGCAGUGAUGCCAAGUCUGUGACAGGAAGCAGGUUGUGUCCAUAAAGAUAAAAGCAGCCUCACACAGCCGCCAUGUGCUCAAGCCUUU